UGGGGAAUCUUGGACAAUGGGCGCAAGCCUGAUCCAGCCAUGCCGCGUGGAUGAUGAAGGCCUUAGGGUUGUAAAAUCCUUUCGUUGGGGACGAUAAUGACGGUACCCAAAGAAGAAGCUCCGGCUAACUUCGUGCCAGCAGCCGCGGUAAUACGAAGGGGGCUAGCGUUGUUCGGAUUUACUGGGCGUAAAGCGCGUGUAGGCGGACUUGUAAGUUGGGGGUGAAAUCCCGAGGCUCAACCUCGGAACUGCCUCCAAAACUACAAAUCUGGACCUAAGUAGAGGCAAGUGGAAUUGCGAGUGUAGAGGUGAAAUUCGUAGAUAUUCGCAGGAACACCAGUGGCGAAGGCGACUUGCUGGACUUAUGGUGACGCUGAGACGCGAAAGCGUGGGGAGCAAACAGGAUUAGAUACCCCCGUAGUCCCUGAGCGGGCUGGCAAGGCGCAU
rnacentral:rRNA from 1 species